rnacentral:rRNA from 1 species
UACGAAGGGGGCUAGCGUUGCUCGGAAUUACUGGGCGUAAAGCGCACGUAGGCGGAUGUGUCAGUCAGGGGUGAAAUCCCGGAGCUCAACUUCGGAACUGCCCCUUGAUACAGCACGUCUUGAGUCCGGAAGAGGUGGGUGGAAUUCCUAGUGUAGAGGUGAAAUUCGUAGAUAUUAGGAAAGAACACCGGUGGCGAAGGCGGCCCACUGGUCCGGUACUGACGCUGAGGUGCGAAAGCGUGGGGAGCAAACAGG